rnacentral:lncRNA from 1 species
CCCUUCAUAUGGUUUGUUUUUCUAGUUCGCUCGGUGGCUGCUGGUUCAUCAGGUAAGCACCCUCUGCUCUUCAUUGUUUUUUCUGCUUUUUGAUUGCUGGGUUUUGAGCAUCGUCUGAAAAACUCAGCCGCUUCAUCUUGGUUAUAUAAUUAUCAAAUGGAUUGUGUAAUGGGUAUAUAAUUACAAAAACUCAGCCCCUGCAUAUAUUUCGCUCGUUGGCCACUGGUUCGUGAGGUGAGCCAGGCUCUACUUCAUAAUUUUCCCCCCCUUUUUGGUUGCUGGUGUUGGAGCCAACGCACAAGAAGCUUUUAAAAGAUUAAUUUGUGAUAAUUAUAUACCAAUUAUGCAAUUCAUUUGGUUUCAAAAAAAAAUUCAAGAAAAAGAGAAGGAAGAAGGUUGAUUUGGCUGAAGCAUACCUCCAGCAUUUUGGUUCAUCAGAAGUUAAUUCCCAUCUUGCCUUUUAAAUUGAUCCUAUUUUCAAGCUAUGUCUUUGGACACUUGGCUACAAAAGCAAUUCUGGGAAUUUUUGGGUGUACAAAGACGUUUUUGGGGUGUGUAUCAAAAGCUAAUCACCCUUAUAUACAUAGGGAUGAAUGCUUUAUUCUUUGUCCACAGAUACACUAUUUAAUGAAUGCUUUAUUGGGUACUAAUAAUUUGGAAUAUGUUAAAUGGUGAAAUGGUUAAGAGUGGUGGUUAGAUGGGGAUGCUGUCCUAAAUGUUGAACAACUGCUUAUGAAUGGAGCCUUGUGUGUUGGUCAAACUGUGUAAAUGCUAUUAUUAUGUUAUAUAUCGAGAGUGCUUGCCUAUGUAGCUCAUGUCUAUGAGUCUAGCUAUUUUCAUUGUCAUAAUACAUUUCAUAUUUAAGCAUUUUGUUUCUUGAAACAUUGUUACUAGUUGUGGGUUUUGUUAUCUAGCCUAAUGUGAGAUUUGUAAUUUCCAGAUACAAUGUGCAGGUUUGCUUAAAACAGAUACCAAAAUGUAAGUGUAGGUGGGUGCGGGUAGUGAGGGAUCUUUGGUGGUUGACAUCUGACUUCUAUUUGAAGUGGUUUAUUCUUUGAGUAAUGAUGCUUGCAGCUUCUGUAAGAGUAUAGUGGCAUGCAUCUAAUAUCAGUAUCUAUAACUUCUAUUUUCACUUUUACAUUUGCAGGUAGAAUUGUGAUUGGAUUAUAUGGUUAGGUUGUACCAAAAACUGUUGGUACGUGUUCAUUUCAUGUUGGUUUGUUUGUGACAAAUGAAAUGGCAAGAGAGCUGGGAAAUAUUCUUCUUCUACAGGCCAAAAGUUAACAAAGAGGAAGCUCACAGCCCAGAUGAUGUUCUAGUGAAAAAGGUGCAAAGAAGAAGGGAUCAAAUUCUAGUGAAAAAGGUUCUAGCGGUAGUCAAAGUAGUGAAGGUGGGCAUGGUAGGCAGGAAGUGAACAUUGAGAACCAACCAUUGCUGAGGUUCAUAGUGAUGGGAAGGAAAUCCUAUACUAUGAAAAAUUAUGUAUUAUUUUUCCCCAAAAAUCUUUUUUAUAUGACCCAAAAUUCUAUGAAGUUUGUAUGAGGUUCUGCAUUAUUAACAUCAUUGUGCAUUCUUCAUCAUGUUCUGACAUGGAGAGAGCUUACUGGAAAGUAUGCAUCAUGAUAAAUGACUUCG